GACGAACGCUGGCGGCGUGCUUAACACAUGCAAGUCGAACGGAAAGGCCCUGCUUUUGUGGGGUGCUCGAGUGGCGAACGGGUGAGUAACACGUGAGUAACCUGCCCUUGACUUUGGGAUAACUUCAGGAAACUGGGGCUAAUACCGGAUAGGAGCUCCUGCUGCAUGGUGGGGGUUGGAAAGUUCCGGCGGUUGGGGCUGGACUCGCGGCUUAUCAGCUUGUUGGUGGGGUAGUGGCUUACCAAGGCUUUGACGGGUAGCCGGCCUGAGAGGUGGACCGGCGACAUGGGGACUGCGGUACGGCGCAGACGCCUACGGGAGGCAGUAGGGGGGAGUAUGGCACAAUGGGCGGAAGUCUGAGGUAGAGACGCCGCGAGCGUGAUAACGGCCUUCGGGUUGUAAACCGCUUUGGCCUGUGACGAAGCGUGAGUGACGGUAAUGGGUAAAGAAGCACCGGCUAACUACGUG
rnacentral:rRNA from 1 species